rnacentral:rRNA from 1 species
UGGGGAAUCUUGCGCAAUGCGCGAAAGCGUGACGCAGCAACGCCGCGUGGGGGAAGAAGGCCUUCGGGUUGUAAACCCCUUUCAGGAGGGACGAAGGUUGGGCGGUUAAUAGCCGACCUGACUGACGGUACCUCCAGAAGAAGCCCCGGCUAACUACGUGCCAGCAGCCGCGGUAAUACGUAGGGGGCAAGCGUUGUCCGGAAUCAUUGGGCGUAAAGAGCGUGUAGGCGGUUCGGUAAGUCGGCUGUGAAAGUCCAGGGCUCAACCCUGGGAUGCCGGUCGAUACUGCCGGACUAGAGUUCGGGAGAGGCGAGUGGAAUUCCCGGUGUAGCGGUGAAAUGCGCAGAUAUCGGGAGGAACACCUAUGGCGAAGGCAGCUCGCUGGGACGUUACUGACGCUGAGACGCGAAAGCGUGGGGAGCAAACAGG